UACGAAGGGGGCUAGCGUUGCUCGGAAUUACUGGGCGUAAAGGGCGCGUAGGCGGACCGUUUAGUCAGAGGUGAAAGCCCAGGGCUCAACCUUGGAAUUGCCUUUGAUACUGGCUGUCUUGAGUACGGGAGAGGUGAGUGGAACUCCGAGUGUAGAGGUGAAAUUCGUAGAUAUUCGGAAGAACACCAGUGGCGAAGGCGACUCACUGGCCCGGUACUGACGCUGAGGCGCGAAAGCGUGGGGAGCGAACAGG
rnacentral:rRNA from 1 species